rnacentral:rRNA from 1 species
GCAAUGAAAAGUAUCGGUAGGGGAGCAUUCCACCGGCGUUGAAUGCGUGGAGCGAUCCGCGCUGGAGCUUGUGGAAAAGCAAAUGUAGGCAUAAGUAACGAUUAGGAGGGCGAGAACCCCUCCCGCCGUAAGUCUAAGGUUUCCCGGGCAAUGCCAGUCAUCCCGGGGUCAGUCGGGUCCUAAGCCUCAUCCGAAGGGAGAGGGCGAUGGCAGAGACGGUCAACAUUCCGUCACUUGCCUUGGGGGCGAUGUGGAGACGGAGCAGUGAAACGGCCGCGGGGCGACGGAAGUCCCCGUUGAAGGGUGUAGGUGAUGAUAGAGGCAGGCAAAUCCGCCUUUAGAGCCGAACCUGACAGUAUCUUCCCUCCUUCGGGAGGUAGGAAUAGCGCCGGUAACCAUACUCCCGAGAAAAUCCGCUAAGCUCAACCCCAUGGCAACCCGUACCGCAAACCGACACAGGUAGACGGGUAGAACAUACUAAGGCGUUGGAAGAUUCAUGGUUAAGGAACUAGGCAAACUGACCCUGUAACUUCGGGAUAAAGGGUCCUCACAGCGAUGUGAGGCGCAGAGAAUAGGUCCAGGCAACUGUUUAACAAAAACACAGGGCUGUGCAAACACGAAAGUUGAGGUAUACAGCCUGACACCUGCCCGGUGCCGGAAGGUUAAGAGGAGACGUCAUCCCUUUGGGUGCAGCGUUGAAUUGAAGCCCCGGUAAACGGCGGCCGUAACAAUAACGGUCCUAAGGUAGCGAAAUUCCUUGUCGGGUAAGUUCCGACCUGCACGAAUGGUGUAAUGAUCCGGACGCUGUCUCAACCAUGAUUCCAGUGAAAUUGUAGUAUCGGUGAAGAUGCCGAUUACCCGCGAUGGGACGAAAAGACCCCGUGAACCUUUACUGCAGCUUAGCAUUGACCUUGGUCAUCCGAUGUGUAGGAUAGGCCGGAGGCUUUGAAGCGCGGGCGCCAGUCCGUGUGGAGCCAUCCUUGAAAUACGGCCCUUUGGCUGUCUGAGGUCUAACGCGCGAUGCGCGGACACUGCUUGGCGGGCAGUUUGACUGGGGUGGUCGCCUCCAAAAGCGUAACGGAGGCUUCCAAAGGUGCCCUCGGGCCGAUUGGUAACCGGCCUUACAGAGUGCAAUGGCAUAAGGGCGCUUGACUGGGAGGCAGACAUGCCGAUCAGGCAGGAAACUGGGGCAUAGUGAUCCGGUGCAAGUGUAUGGAAACUGCAUCGCUCAAAGGAUAAAAGGUACUCCGGGGAUAACAGGCUGAUCCCCCCCAAGAGCUCAUAUCGACGGGGUGGUUUGGCACCUCGAUGUCGGCUCGUCACAUCCUGGGGCUGGAGAAGGUCCCAAGGGUUGGGCUGUUCGCCCAUUAAAGUGGCACGCGAGCUGGGUUCAGAACGUCGUGAGACAGUUCGGUCUCUAUCUAUCGUGGGCGCAGGAGUUUUGCGCGGUGCCGUCACUAGUACGAGAGGACCGUGAUGGACAGACCUCCGGUCUACCGGUUGUGCCGCCAGGCGCACCGCCGGGUAGCCGAGUCUGGAUGGGAUAAGCGCUGAAAGCAUCUAAGUGCGAAGCCCGCCGCAAGAUUAGAACUCCCCAUUAGGGUCGUCCUAGACGAGGACGUUGAUAGGGCGCAGGUGUAAAGGCGGCGACGCCAAAGCCGAGCGCUACUAAUUGCCC